rnacentral:rRNA from 1 species
CUCAUUCGGAUUGGAGUCUGCAACCCGACUCCAUGAAGCUGGAUUCGCUAGUAAUCGCGCAUCAGCCACGGCGCGGUGAAUACGUUUCCCGGGCCUUGUACACACCGCCCGUCAAGUCAUGAAAGUGGGCAGCACCCGAAGACGGUGGCCUAACCCUUGUGGGGGGAGCCGUCUAAGGUGAGGCUCGUGAUUGGGACUAAGUCGUAACAAGGUACC